GUGAUAAUCGAGAAAUUAAUAUGAUAUAAAUUUUGUAAAUUAAUUGAUCCAAUCAUACUAUUGACACCCCAAUGAUGCUCUUACUAGUUCUAUAAAUUGGUACAUUACACGAACAUAUUUUCAUCACUCAUUCUUUUUCUACUUUUUCUGCAAGCUAAAGUGUGUUUUCUGCAAUAUGGCUAAGCUGUUCUUUUUCUUGAUUGCUCUCUUUGUUAUAAGUACAGUUGAUGAUUUCUCUUGGUCUUCCAAGAUGCAAGUAAUGGCUACAAGAGACUUGGCACUAGAUCAGAACAACAACUAAAAAAUAAAGGGCAGCCACAAGGGUGUAUUGUACGCAGUCUUACCUUGCAUUUCUGCCAUAGGCUAUUUCCAAGGCUUGAACCCGUGACCUCCUGAUCACUUUACCAGUUACUCUAAGGUUCCCUUCAAGUGGAACAACAACUACUUCCAGUAAAAACUGGCUUAGGAAAUUGCUUCAUACUUGGCAAUUCGAACGCAGACUGUGUGCGCAGAGGUUGUUCGUUUUGUUGCGAAUGUAUGCGCUCAUAUGAUCCAUAUACUAAUAAAUAUGAUUAUAAUUGUGACAAACGUCUUUGGAUUGGUGAAGGUUUUUUUGGAACUAUCCUUAAAAAUCAACGUCUUAAGAACAUUAAUUAAUGUUUGUGUGUUCUUAUGUUUGAUGGAAUAAGUGAUAAUGAGGUUUUUGUCUACGGAAAACUUUGAUUAUUCGAGUGUAAUUUGUAAAAGCUAGCAGUUUGGCGUGUGACUGCUUAUCUAUAUGUGUAAUUCUAUGUGAAA